GUCCCUGUAGCUCAGUGGAUAGAGCAGCUGCCUUCUAAGCAGCGGGUCACAGGUUCGAAUCCUGUCAGGGACGCCA
rnacentral:tRNA from 1 species